rnacentral:rRNA from 1 species
AAAUUGAAGAGUUUGAUCAUGGCUCAGAUUGAACGCUGGCGGCAGGCCUAACACAUGCAAGUCGAGCGGUAGCACAGAGAGCUUGCUCUCGGGUGACGAGCGGCGGACGGGUGAGUAAUGUCUGGGAAACUGCCUGAUGGAGGGGGAUAACUACUGGAAACGGUAGCUAAUACCGCAUAACGUCGCAAGACCAAAGUGGGGGACCUUCGGGCCUCAUGCCAUCAGAUGUGCCCAGAUGGGAUUAGCUAGUAGGUGGGGUAACGGCUCACCUAGGCGACGAUCCCUAGCUGGUCUGAGAGGAUGACCAGCCACACUGGAACUGAGACACGGUCCAGACUCCUACGGGAGGCAGCAGUGGGGAAUAUUGCACAAUGGGCGCAAGCCUGAUGCAGCCAUGCCGCGUGUGUGAAGAAGGCCUUCGGGUUGUAAAGCACUUUCAGCGGGGAGGAAGGCGUUAAGGUUAAUAACCUUGGCGAUUGACGUUACCCGCAGAAGAAGCACCGGCUAACUCCGUGCCAGCAGCCGCGGUAAUACGGAGGGUGCAAGCGUUAAUCGGAAUUACUGGGCGUAAAGCGCACGCAGGCGGUCUGUCAAGUCGGAUGUGAAAUCCCCGGGCUCAACCUGGGAACUGCAUUCGAAACUGGCAGGCUAGAGUCUUGUAGAGGGGGGUAGAAUUCCGGUGUAGCGGUGAAAUGCGUAGAGAUCUGGAGGAAUACCGGUGGCGAAGGCGGCCCCUGGACAAAGACUGACGCUCAGGUGCGAAAGCGUGGGGAGCAAACAGGAUUAGAUACCCUGGUAGUCCACGCCGUAAACGAUGUCGAUUUGGAGGUUGUGCCCUUGAGGCGUGGCUUCCGGAGCUAACGCGUUAAAUCGACCGCCUGGGGAGUACGGCCGCAAGGUUAAAACUCAAAUGAAUUGACGGGGGCCCGCACAAGCGGUGGAGCAUGUGGUUUAAUUCGAUGCAACGCGAAGAACCUUACCUGGUCUUGACAUCCACAGAACUUUCCAGAGAUGGAUUGGUGCCUUCGGGAACUGUGAGACAGGUGCUGCAUGGCUGUCGUCAGCUCGUGUUGUGAAAUGUUGGGUUAAGUCCCGCAACGAGCGCAACCCUUAUCCUUUGUUGCCAGCGGUUCGGCCGGGAACUCAAAGGAGACUGCCAGUGAUAAACUGGAGGAAGGUGGGGAUGACGUCAAGUCAUCAUGGCCCUUACGACCAGGGCUACACACGUGCUACAAUGGCAUAUACAAAGAGAAGCGACCUCGCGAGAGCAAGCGGACCUCAUAAAGUAUGUCGUAGUCCGGAUUGGAGUCUGCAACUCGACUCCAUGAAGUCGGAAUCGCUAGUAAUCGUAGAUCAGAAUGCUACGGUGAAUACGUUCCCGGGCCUUGUACACACCGCCCGUCACACCAUGGGAGUGGGUUGCAAAAGAAGUAGGUAGCUUAACCUUCGGGAGGGCGCUUACCACUUUGUGAUUCAUGACUGGGGUGAAGUCGUAACAAGGUAACCGUAGGGGAACCUGCGGUUGGAUCACCUCCUUA